rnacentral:lncRNA from 10 species
GGCAAAUGUGAUCUUUGGCAAGGGACAGCACAUUGUCUUACCGCUGUGGGAAAAUGCUUAAUGCGCAAACAUUUCCUUAAAACGAGCUGACAAGGAAACGUUCAAGAUGGCCUUAUUAAAGAUAAUCAUCCUGGCUGAACAGGACAAAAAUAGAUUAAGUCCCUUCUGAACUCUGAGAGCAGGAUACGUGGCCCAGCAGAGCAUCACUAAACCAAGGCGGGUGGCAGCGGGGAAAGACUCCACGGCUUUCCCUUGGGUUUCACCACUUGGAGAAGCUUCCCAGUCGGCUGGCGUGGAAGCCCAGCUCCUCACCCCACCCCAAGCACAGGGCAGGCGCUGAGCCCCGGGCUGGCAGAGAGACAGGUGCUUUCGACCCAGCAGGUGGGCGCUGACAGCUCCACUGCCACACAAGCCCCUGGCAUCUUCUCGCUGCAGACACACUUGGUGGCAAGUGCUUGCGUGUGGACGCUGCGUGGCCCGAUGUCCCAUCGGUCAGUGUCCAAGAGGAAGGCUCUGGGAUGCCGCUUACUCAGAGAGCCCUGCACGCACCACUCCCAGCUUCACCUGUGCUGCCAGGCUGGGACCAAGUCCACCUUGGAGAUGUGGCUGGCAACUGUCAUCGCUACCAGGUCCAUCUCGCCGCCACUCACUCCCCACCGCCCUCCAAUAAUGCCAACAAAACUCACAGUGGAGCCAGGGUCUCGGGGGAAAGAAGAAAGAUCUGCAAGAGCCUCCCCGACCAUCUCCAGAUGCCUGAGCCCCAGAGCUGACUUGCACGGAGGCUGAUCUGCAUCGAAGGCUGGCCCCGGGCCAGGCACCUGGGAGGGCUUUGGGCCCAUCUCCCACCUGUCCUCGCCUUAAGCCAACAGGGCAGGAACUGUGGUUAUUCCCGUUCUGCAGAUGAGGCACCCAAGGCACAAGGAGUCUGUGCAGCCAGCGGGUGGAGGAGAAGCUGGGGCCACCCCCGGAACAUUUCUGAGGACACCAUUCCUGGCCCUGUACAAACCGACUCUGUCAUCUCCAUUCGCUACAGAGAACCAGCAACUGAUGCCAGUGCAGUGCAGAGAAAUAACGGGCCCAUUUUACAGAUGUGGAAACUAAAGUUCAGGCAGGUCCAAUAAUUUGCCCAAACACCAAACAGCUGCAAAUGGCAAGGCUGGGAUCAGAAGGAAGACUGGAUGCUAGAGCCUCCCUGGCCCCCAUCCCUUCAUUCCUGAUACCUGCACCCCACUCUCUGGCCUUCACCCCUCCCAAUGCCUAGCAUGCGGCCAUUCAAAGCAAUGCUGGGUUCCGCCCCUCACCGUAAAAAUCAAAAAGCUGCCUGCUCGUGAAUGCUUGUGAGAGAGAAAACACCUGGAAAGGUAGAAUCAGGUGCUCCUAAAAUUCACAUCCACUUGGAAUCUCAGAUGUGACUUUACUUGGAAAUAGGGUUUCUGCAGAUGUAAUAAGUUGAGGUUAUACUGGAGCAGGGAAGGCCCUGAAUCCAAUACAAUCGGUGUCCUUAUAAGUAGAGAGAAAUGUGGACACAGACACACAGGGGAGAAGACACAUGAAGGGGGAGACAGAGACUGGAACGAUGCAGCCACAAGCCAAGGAACACCAGAGCCGCAAAAAGCCAGGAGCAGCAAGGAGGGACGCUUCCCUAGGGCCUUCAGAGGGUGCCCAGUCCUGCUGGCACCUGCACCUGGGACUUCUGGCCUCCAGAACUGCA